rnacentral:rRNA from 1 species
UACGUAGGGUGCAGGCGUUAAUCGGAAUUACUGGGCGUAAAGCGUGCGCAGGCGGCCUCUUAAGUCAGAUGUGAAAUCCCCGGGCUUAACCUGGGAACUGCGUUUGAAACUGGGAGGCUAGAGUGUGGAAGAGGGGGGUGGAAUUCCAGGUGUAGCAGUGAAAUGCGUAGAGAUGUGGAGGAACACCGAUGGCGAAGGCAGCCCCCUGGGCUAACACUGACGCUCAUGCACGAAAGCGUGGGGAGCAAACAGG